UCAGGUGGUCCUGUCCUCAGGAGGUCCUGUCUUCAGGAGGACCUGUCCUCAGGUGGACCUGUCCUCAGGUGGUCCUGUCUUCAGGUCCUCAGGAGGACCUGUCCUCAGGUGGUCCUGUCUUCAGGUCCUCAGGAGGACCUGUCCUCAGGUGGUCCUGUCUUCAGGAGGACCUGUCCUCAGGUGGACCUGUCUUCAGGUCCUCAGGUGGACCUGUCCUCAGGUGGACCUGUCCUCAGG